rnacentral:rRNA from 1 species
GUGUCAGCAGCCGCGGUAAUACGGAGGAUGCGAGCGUUAUCCGGAUUUAUUGGGUUUAAAGGGUGCGUAGGCGGACAAAUAAGUCAGUGGUGAAAACCUGCAGCUUAACUGUAGAUGUGCCGUUGAUACUGUUAGUCUUGAGUGUGGUCAAGGUAGGCGGAAUGUGUAAUGUAGCGGUGAAAUGCUUAGAUAUUACACAGAACACCGAUUGCGAAGGCAGCUUGCUGGGCCAUUACUGACGCUGAUGCACGAAAGCGUGGGGAUCGAACAGGAUUAGAUACCCUCGUAGUCC